UUGGAGGGCAAGUCUGGUGCCAGCAGCCGCGGUAAUUCCAGCUCCAAUAGCGUAUAUUAAAGUUGUUGCAGUUAAGAAGCUCGUAGUUGAAUUUCGGGGUUAGUAGGCUGGUCGUGCCACAGGUAUGCACUGGUCUUACUGAUUCCUCCUUCCUGAUGAACCGUAAUGCCAUUAAUUUGGUGUUGCGGGGAGUCUGGACUGUUACUUUGAAAAAAUUAGAGUGUUUAAAGCAGGCUAACGCUUGAAUACAUUAGCAUGGAAUAACGAAAUAGGACGUUCGAUCUUAUUUUGUUGGUUUCUAGGAUUGACGUAAUGAUUAAUAGGGAUAGUUGGGGGCAUUAGUAUUCAAUUGUCAGAGGUGAAAUUCUUGGAUUUAUUGAAGACUAACUACUGCGAAAGCAUUUGCCAAGGAUGUUUUCAUUAAUCAAGAACGAAAGUUAGGGGAUCGAAGACGAUCAGAUACCGUCGUAGUCUUAACCAUAAACUAUGCCGACUAGGGAUCGGAUGAUGUUAAUUUUAUAAUGACUCAUUCGGCGCCUUACGGGAAAC
rnacentral:rRNA from 1 species